AAUUGAAGAGUUUGAUCAUGGCUCAGAUUGAACGCUGGCGGCAGGCCUAACACAUGCAAGUCGAACGGUAGCACAGAGAGCUUGCUCUCGGGUGACGAGUGGCGGACGGGUGAGUAAUGUCUGGGAAACUGCCCGAUGGAGGGGGAUAACUACUGGAAACGGUAGCUAAUACCGCAUAACGUCGCAAGACCAAAGAGGGGGACCUUCGGUCCUCUUGCCAUCGGAUGUGCCCAGAUGGGAUUAGCUUGUAGGUGAGGUAACGGCUCACCUAGGCGACGAUCCCUAGCUGGUCUGAGAGGAUGACCAGCCACACUGGAACUGAGACACGGUCCAGACUCCUACGGGAGGCAGCAGUGGGGAAUAUUGCACAAUGGGCGCAAGCCUGAUGCAGCCAUGCCGCGUGUAUGAAGAAGGCCUUCGGGUUGUAAAGUACUUUCAGCGGGGAGGAAGGGAGUGAGGUUAAUAACCUCAUUCAUUGACGUUACCCGCAGAAGAAGCACCGGCUAACUCCGUGCCAGCAGCCGCGGUAAUAUGGAGGGUGCAAGCGUUAAUCGGAAUUACUGGGCGUAAAGCGCACGCAGGCGGUCUGUCAAGUCGGAUGUGAAAUCCCCGGGCUCAACCUGGGAACUGCAUUCGAAACUGG
rnacentral:rRNA from 1 species